CGUUCGACUUGGCGAUGGCAUCGAGCGUGGCGGCAUUGUCGGUGCCGUGGCAGCUGGCCUGAACGAUGACGUUGCGUUCAAAGCCCAGGUGAUCGC
rnacentral:tRNA from 1 species